rnacentral:rRNA from 1 species
AAAUGAAUUGACGGGGGCCCGCACAAGCGGUGGAGCAUGUGGUUUAAUUCGAUGCAACGCGCAGAACCUUACCAGCCCUUGACAUGGGGCGUUUGGGUUCCGGAGACGGGAUCCUUCAGUUCGGCUGGCGCCCACACAGGUGCUGCAUGGCUGUCGUCAGCUCGUGUCGUGAGAUGUUGGGUUAAGUCCCGCAACGAGCGCAACCCUCGCCCUUAGUUGCCAGCGGUUCGGCCGGGCACUCUAGGGGAACUGCCGGUGACAAGCCGGAGGAAGGCGGGGAUGACGUCAAGUCCUCAUGGCCCUUAUGGGCUGGGCUACACACGUGCUACAAUGGCGGUGACAAUGGGCAGCGAUCCAGCAAUGGUGAGCUAAUCUCCAAAAGCCGUCUCAGUUCGGAUUGUCCUCUGCAACUCGAGGGCAUGAAGGUGGAAUCGCUAGUAAUCGUGGAUCAGCAUGCCACGGUGAAUACGUUCCCGGGCCUUGUACACACCGCCCGU